UUGUCCAGACAAAAUACUUCUUUUAGUACAUAACACUAGCUCAAAUUAACAGCUUUUAUGCAAAUCUUUUGGAUUAUCACUACCCAUGAACCACCGGGUUGAACUCAGAUGAAUAGUUCCAUCUUAUUCAACAAAAUCAAAUCAAAUGGUAGUAGCACUGAAAUGGGAAACAAUCUGAAUACAUUAAAUAAUUUUUAAUGGUCCAAUUCAAUUUGUGAGGUCAAACAAAAUUGGCCAAUUCAGGAUAUCACUGAGCAAAAGCCCUUCAAUCCUUCCUAUUAUACUUGCCCGUACUCUAGAUUUCAUGUCAUUGGUUGUUAGAUGCUGCAGAAAAUUUCUUUGAUCUCUUGCUUGCCUGUAUCUUAGAAUAAAGCUGCUUUGUUCUAAUUGCCAACAGAACAUCCAAACCGAAUCCAAUGACGCAUGAAAUCGCCAUAAUAAUGAACACAGCCCUAUAGCAAUGGGCACCAACACAAGUGUUGCCACCUCCUGGUAUGGGGGUAGCUUCUGCAUCAUAUAAAAGUCCAGCAAGCAGACCAGA
rnacentral:misc_RNA from 1 species